rnacentral:rRNA from 1 species
GGGUAGAAUUUUCAGGUGUAGCGGNGAAAUGCGUAGAGAUNUGAAGGAAUACCGGUGGCGAAGGCGGCCCCCCUGGACAGAUACUGACACUCAGAUGCGAAAGCGUGGGGAGCAAAACAGGGAUUAGAUACCCUGGGUAGUCCACGCCGUAAACGAUGUCUACUUUGGAGGGUUGUGGCCUUGAGCCGUGGCUUUNGGAGCUAACGCGUUAAGUAGACCGCCUGGGGAGUACGGUCGCAAGAUUAAAACUCAAAUGAAUUGACGGGGGCCCGCACAAGCGGUGGAGCAUGUGGUUUAAUUCGAUGCAACGCGAAGAACCUUACCUACUCUUGACAUCUACAGAAGCCAGCGGAGACGCAGGUGUGCCUUCGGGAACUGUAAGACAGGUGCUGCAUGGCUGUCGUCAGCUCGUGUUGUGAAAUGUUGGGUUAAGUCCCGCAACGAGCGCAACCCUUAUCCUUGUUUGCCAGCACUUCGGGUGGGAACUCCAGGGAGACUGCCGGUGAUAAACCGGAGGAAGGUGGGGACGACGUCAAGUCAUCAUGGCCCUUACGAGUAGGGCUACACACGUGCUACAAUGGCGCAUACAGAGGGCGGCCAACUUGCGAAAGUGAGCGAAUCCCAAAAAGUGCGUCGUAGUCCGGAUUGGAGUCUGCAACUCGACUCCAUGAAGUCGGAAUCGCUAGUAAUCGUGGAUCAGAAUGCCACGGUGAAUACGUUCCCGGGCCUUGUACACACCGCCCGUCACACCAUGGGAGUGGGCUGCAAAAGAAGUGGGUAGUUUAACCUUCGGGAGGACGCUCACCACUUUGUGGUUCAUGACUGGGGUGAAGUCNNNNCAANNUAACCG